rnacentral:rRNA from 1 species
AGAGUUUGAUCAUGGCUCAGAAUGAACGCUGGCGGCGUGCUUAACACAUGCAAGUCGAGCGAGGCCAGGGGGGCAACUCCCUGAGUCGAGCGGCGGACGGGUGAGUAACACGUGGGUAACCUACCCGGAAGUGGGGAAUACCUCGGGGAAACUCGAGCUAAUACCGCAUGACAUCUUCGGGACGAAAGUCCUGACGAUCAAAGCGGGGUCGCAAGAUCUCGCGCUACCGGAUGGGCCCGCGCCCGAUUAGCUAGUUGGUGAGGUAACGGCUCACCAAGGCUUCGAUCGGUAACCGGCCUGAGAGGGCGAUCGGUCACACCGGAACUGAGACACGGUCCGGACUCCUACGGGAGGCAGCAGUGGGGAAUCUUGCGCAAUGGGCGAAAGCCUGACGCAGCAACGCCGCGUGGAGGAUGAAGGCCCUUGGGUUGUAAACUCCUGUCGGCUGGGAAGAAAUCGUUUGCGGCUAAUACCCGCGAACGUUGACUGUACCAGCAAAGGUAGCCCCGGCUAACUCUGUGCCAGCAGCGGCGGUAAUUC